rnacentral:rRNA from 1 species
AUUGAACGCUGGCGGCAGGCCUAACACAUGCAAGUCGAACGAGUGGCGGACGGGUGAGUAAUUUCUGGGAAACUGCCUGAUGGAGGGGGAUAACUACUGGAAACGGUAGCUAAUACCGCCUACCAUCGGAUGUGCCCAGAUGGGAUUAGAUAGUAGGUGGGGUAAAGGCGAACCUAGGCGACGGUCCCUAGCUGGUCUGCGAGGAUGACCGGCCACACUGGGACUGAGACACGGUCCAUACUCCUACGGGAGGAAGCAGUGGGGAAUAUUGCACAAUGGGCGCAAGCCUGAUGCAGCCAUGCCGCGUGUAUGAAGAAGGCCUUCGGGUUGUAAAGUACUUUCAGCGGGGAGGCGUUACCCGCAGAAGAAGCACCGGCUAACUCCGUGCCAGCAGCCGCGGUAAUUC